UGUACUGUGUGUCAAGGCAUGCAGUGUGUGCGUACAACCAGCCAGCUGCCAUGCAUGCCGUAUGAGACACACACAAGACAGCAAGACAGCCAUUCCUAUCAACAGCUACAGGAGCCAGAGCAGAGAAAAAUCCUUUUAUUACUUUGUUUUCCCCUGCUAUUCUUCAAUAUGGGCAUCUGUUGACAUCUUUCGCCAAACAGUGGAUUCAAACACAUUGUGGCAACAGUAUAUUGACGUGAGACCAUGCAGAAAAUGCUACUUUCUCUCAACCUUCUGGAUCAGCAUUCAGCAGCGUAGCAGCCUCAUGACACAGUUGAAGCCUUUAUCGAAUUCUUUGCGUGCAUGUACCCUGGAUCAAGCAGAACUUGCAUUAUACAGGAGAUUCCACCCAAAAUCUAAACCAUGAGUCCCAGCUGAAGAGGAAUAUUUCCAAAAUGAGGUCUACACACACAGAGGUUACUUUCCCCUUCAUUAUAGAGAUACAGAGAGAGGGAGAGAGAGAGAGAUGGGGGGGGGGGGGGGGUGAGUUAUAGCCACGAACCUGAAUAGCUUAGCUGUAGAACUGAAAUGCCCAUUCAUGUCACUUGCCAUUUUGAUGAAUUACAGGGUUUACAAACAUACAUGUAGGCCUACAUUUUUACCCUUUGGGUAAAAGAUCUUGGUAUUUGCGUAUAUUUGUUAUUACUAUUUAUGAUGUAGACCUGUUUCAUAAUGCUUAUGUAGUAGAUCAGUCUCGUGCUCACCCCCACCCCCUUCGUAUCGAAAUGUCAAUUCCUAAAACCUGUGGCAAAUUAUAUAAAUUGGUAAUAGAGAAAAAUUGAGUGAGGUAAAUGCAAUACAAAUCUAUUCCAAUCUUAAGCACUUAAGACUUGUUAAGGUAUGGCACGUGAACCGCCAAAAAAUUAAAAAAAUUGUGUCUUGAAAUAAAUGGGAAAGUAGUCCUGCAGCUCAUCAUAGUGACGUACAUUACCGAUUCAGCCAAUUUAAAAUGCCCAUAGGUUUAGUGAUCACAGCUUUCAACAAUCCAUAACCACCUUAUUUUGUGUCAGAUUUAAUGUGGUAUUUUUAAAAGUAUAGUUGUCUGUUAAGGUUGGAUUUCUCUUUAAAAAGUGUAAAGGGUAAGCCCUAUGUAACAUAAUGUGAUGAGGCAAUUUUCGUUAUAAAACCAAAUCAAAGUGCCGCGGAACAAAUUAUUUCGUUCACCUGUUAAGAAUAAUUGUAUUUCGAUAGUCGGAAUGCGAAAUGCAAACAUGUGUUGUUAGGUAGGGCAACACAUAAUGUAUUCAAUUUGCAUUCUGACUAUUUAAAUACAUUUAUUGGUAAAAGGUGAAUUUAAUAAUUGGUAAUGAGGCACUUAACGAGGACCUAUUCAUUAAAUUUGAUAAUUACAAUACGACAAUGGCCUACAUGUAUUCAUAUGAAUGGGAAAUCUUUGAACUGUUAUGUCGUUUUCUGAGGGUUCAUAAUUUUAUAUGUUCAAGGAUUCAUAAUUCUACAAAUGAAGUAGGGUUCUUAAUUCUGAAAAUGAACUAGGAUUCAUAAUUCCAAAAA